rnacentral:rRNA from 1 species
CCUACGGGUGGCAGCAGUGAGGAAUAUUGGUCAAUGGGCGUAAGCCUGAACCAGCCAAGCCGCGUGAGGGAUGAAGGUUCUAUGGAUCGUAAACCUCUUUUAUAAGGGAAUAAAGUCCGGGACGUGUCCCGGAGUGAAUGUACCUUAUGAAUAAGGAUCGGCUAACUCCGGGCCAGCAGCCGCGGUAAUACGGUGGGUCCGAGCGUUAUCCGGGUUUAUUGGGGUUAAAGGGUGCGUAGGCGGCCCUUUAAGUCAGCGGUGAAAGUCCGGGGCUCAACCCGAGAAUGGCCGUUGAAACGGGGAGGCUGGAGUGUGUUAGAGGCAGGCGGAAUGCGUGGUGUAGCGGUGAAAUGCUUAGAUAUCGCGCAGAACCCCGAUUGCGAAGGCAGCCUGCC